rnacentral:rRNA from 1 species
UGGGGAAUCUUGCGCAAUGGGCGAAAGCCUGACGCAGCGACGCCGCGUGAGCGAUGAAGGCCUUCGGGUUGUAAAGCUCUGUGGGGAGGAAAGAAUAAGGUUUGGCUAAUAUCCAAGCUGAUGACGGUACCUCCUUAGCAAGCACCGGCUAACUCUGUGCCAGCAGCCGCGGUAAGACAGAGGGUGCAAACGUUGUUCGGAAUUACUGGGCGUAAAGCGCGUGUAGGCGGCCCUGCAAGUCGGAUGUGAAAUCCCAUGGCUCAACUAUGGAAGUGCAUUCGAAACUGCAGGGCUAGAGUCCUGGAGAGGAAGGUGGAAUGCUUGGUGUAGAGGUGAAAUUCGUAGAUAUCAAGCGGAACACCGGUGGCGAAGGCGGCCUUCUGGACAGUGACUGACGCUGAGACGCGAAAGCGUGGGGAGCAAACAGGAUUAGAUACCCCCGUAGUCC